CAUAAAGGAACACAAGCUAAGAGCGCCACAUCGUGUGGCAACGCUUGUAUGACCAACAUCCUGUUGG
rnacentral:sRNA from 1 species